CCUACGGGAGGCAGCAGUGGGGAAUUUUGGACAAUGGGCGAAAGCCUGAUCCAGCCAUGCCGCGUGCAGGAUGAAGGCCUUCGGGUUGUAAACUGCUUUUGUACGGAACGAAACGGCCUUUUCUAAUAAAGAGGGCUAAUGACGGUACCGUAAGAAUAAGCACCGGCUAACUACGUGCCAGCAGCCGCGGUAAUACGUAGGGUGCAAGCGUUAAUCGGAAUUACUGGGCGUAAAGCGUGCGCAGGCGGUUAUGUAAGACAGUUGUGAAAUCCCCGGGCUCAACCUGGGAACUGCAUCUGUGACUGCAUAGCUAGAGUACGGUAGAGGGGGAUGGAAUUCCGCGUGUAGCAGUGAAAUGCGUAGAUAUGCGGAGGAACACCGAUGGCGAAGGCAAUCCCCUGGACCUGUACUGACGCUCAUGCACGAAAGCGUGGGGAGCAAACAGGAUUAGAUACCCUGGUAGUCCACGCCCUAAACGAUGUCAACUGGUUGUUGGGUCUUCACUGACUCAGUAACGAAGCUAACGCGUGAAGUUGACCGCCUGGGGAGUACGGCCGCAAGGUUGAAACUUAAAUGAAUUGACGG
rnacentral:rRNA from 1 species